GUGCUCACUUCAACAACACAUAAACUAAAAUUGGAAUGAUACGUAGAAUAUUAGUAUGGCCCCUGUGCAAGAAUGACCGGUAAAUUAGUGAAACAUUCCAUAUUUUU